rnacentral:rRNA from 1 species
CGAGUUAACUGAACCUUCGGGGAACGUUAACGGCGUCGAGCGGCGGACGGGUGAGUAAUGCCUGGGAAAUUGCCCUGAUGUGGGGGAUAACCAUUGGAAACGAUGGCUAAUACCGCAUAAUAGCUUCGGCUCAAAGAGGGGGACCUUCGGGCCUCUCCCGUCAAGGUUUGCCCAGGUGGGAUUAGCUAGUUGGGGAGGUAAUGGCUCACCAAGGCGACGAUCCCUAGCUGGUCUGAGAGGAUGAUCAGCCACACUGGAACUGAGACACCGGCCACACUCCUACGGGAGGCAGCAGUGGGGAAUAUUGCACAAUGGGCGCAAGCCUGAUGCACCCAUGCCGCGUGUGUGAAGAAAGCCUUCGGGUUGUAAAGCACUUUCAGUCGUGAGGAAAGGGGUGUAGUUAAUAGCUGCAUUAUUUGACGUUNGCGACAGAAAAAGCACCGGCUAACUCCGUGCCAGCAGCCGCGGUAAUACCGAGGGUGCGAGCGUUAAUCGGAAUUACUGGGCGUAAAGCGCCUGCGGGUGGUUAGUUAAAUCAGAU